AGGACGAACGCUGGCGGCGUGCCUAAUACAUGCAAGUCGAGCGGACAGAUGGGAGCUUGCUCCCUGAUGUUAGCGGCGGACGGGUGAGUAACACGUGGGUAACCUGCCUGUAAGACUGGGAUAACUCCGGGAAACCGGGGCUAAUACCGGAUGGUUGUUUGAACCGCAUGGUUCAGACAUAAAAGGUGGCUUCGGCUACCACUUACAGAUGGACCCGCGGCGCAUUAGCUAGUUGGUGAGGUAACGGCUCACCAAGGCGACGAUGCGUAGCCGACCUGAGAGGGUGAUCGGCCACACUGGGACUGAGACACGGCCCAGACUCCUACGGGAGGCAGCAGUAGGGAAUCUUCCGCAAUGGACGAAAGUCUGACGGAGCAACGCCGCGUGAGUGAUGAAGGUUUUCGGAUCGUAAAGCUCUGUUGUUAGGGAAGAACAAGUGCCGUUCAAAUAGGGCGGCACCUUGACGGUACCUAACCAGAAAGCCACGGCUAACUACGUGCCAGCAGCCGCGGUAAUACGUAGGUGGCAAGCGUUGUCCGGAAUUAUUGGGCGUAAAGGGCUCGCAGGCGGUUUCUUAAGUCUGAUGUGAAAGCCCCCGGCUCAACCGGGGAGGGUCAUUGGAAACUGGGGAACUUGAGUGCAGAAGAGGAGAGUGGAAUUCCACGUGUAGCGGUGAAAUGCGUAGAGAUGUGGAGGAACACCAGUGGCGAAGGCGACUCUCUGGUCUGUAACUGACGCUGAGGAGCGAAAGCGUGGGGAGCGAACAGGAUUAGAUACCCUGGUAGUCCACGCCGUAAACGAUGAGUGCUAAGUGUUAGGGGGUUUCCGCCCCUUAGUGCUGCAGCUAACGCAUUAAGCACUCCGCCUGGGGAGUACGGUCGCAAGACUGAAACUCAAAGGAAUUGACGGGGGCCCGCACAAGCGGUGGAGCAUGUGGUUUAAUUCGAAGCAACGCGAAGAACCUUACCAGGUCUUGACAUCCUCUGACAAUCCUAGAGAUAGGACGUCCCCUUCGGGGGCAGAGUGACAGGUGGUGCAUGGUUGUCGUCAGCUCGUGUCGUGAGAUGUUGGGUUAAGUCCCGCAACGAGCGCAACCCUUGAUCUUAGUUGCCAGCAUUCAGUUGGGCACUCUAAGGUGACUGCCGGUGACAAACCGGAGGAAGGUGGGGAUGACGUCAAAUCAUCAUGCCCCUUAUGACCUGGGCUACACACGUGCUACAAUGGACAGAACAAAGGGCAGCGAAACCGCGAGGUUAAGCCAAUCCCACAAAUCUGUUCUCAGUUCGGAUCGCAGUCUGCAACUCGACUGCGUGAAGCUGGAAUCGCUAGUAAUCGCGGAUCAGCAUGCCGCGGGUGAAUACGUUCCCGGGCCUUGUACACACCGCCCGUCACACCACGAGAGUUUGUAACACCCGAAGUCGGUGAGGUAACCUUUUAGGAGCCAGCCGCCGAAGGU
rnacentral:rRNA from 1 species